AGUUAAUCCUCUUUCCUCAUUAAAGACAGUUGUAGAUUUUCCCAGAUCUGGCUGACACAUUCCUUGGCUGUUGAGGAACUAAUGAAUUUCAUGGAAACAGAGAAAACAGGCAUAAAUAGUGAAGAGGCCAUGAGAAAGGCAUUUCAAAUCUGUCGGAAUCUGCCUCCAAAGUCAACAAACUCCGUUUCUCCUCAGAACGGUUCAGAAGCAUGAGAAAUCUCCCAGUCUUUGGAGAGUGUCUUAGCAACUAAGUUUAUGAUCCAUUAUCCAUCACAAGAGAUGACUUCAAACUCGGGAUGACCUGUCCAACUGUCCAAAUUCUACCUGAAGUCUCAGCUCAAGUUCUCUCUUUCUUGGAGUCCUCUCUUGGUCCCGGACCUCGCAUUAGAUGGUCAGCCUCAUUUCAUACCUUCACUUUCCUUUUGACUCUUGAACUCUUAUUUGUGCCUUCAUUUGUCUCAAACUCUUGGGCUCAAGUGAUCUUCCCACCUCAGCCUCCCAAAGUGCUGGGAUUACAGGCAUGAGCCACCAUGCCCAGCCAUGUAACUUCAUUUGUAAUACUUAAUGCUGUGUUUUAAUUUUGUUUGUUUACUGGCACUGAACUAUUGUUAGUCUCUGUGUCUUACCUAAAGGUAAGCUCCUUGAGGCCAGAGACUAUGUCUCAUCCUUUCUGGUUUUCCUCUUGGUUCAGCCUCUAACACAGUUCUAGGCUCAUAACGUAUUUUUAAUAAAUAACUUUAUAAUUCAACCAGAUGAAUCUUUCAAUUAAAAUUUUCAGGUUUUUUUUUCUCUUUGGUAUAAUUAUUAAGAGUCCCUGGAUUUUGUAUGGCAAUUAUACUUCCUCGUGGUCUAGAAUUAAGUUGCUUUGGAAAUUCAAAGCAAAACAAAAACACACAAAGAGAAUGAAAAGACAGACAUUGCUAUUGUCAUAUGAUUACUUCUAGAUGGUACUAAUGUGUACACCAACUCUUCAUGAACCACAGUAUGUAAAUAAAUAAGACAUUUUGGGACCAUGUGCUUUUCUAUCUGCUCCCUCUUUUCCCAGCACUCUGAUGUGGUUCUAGACUUCAUUCUCU
rnacentral:lncRNA from 1 species